rnacentral:lncRNA from 1 species
UCUCGACAAUGAGGUAAACUACUCAAACAAAACUCCUUUACUUUAUUUUAAAAUUACUUGAUAUUUUUUCAUAAGUUAUUUUUAAAUUAGUUAGUAAAAAAUAAAAAAUAAAAAUAAAAAAAUUAUAUCAUAUUCUUUUUAUUUUAAAAAAAAUGAUCAUGACAAUUACAUGUUUUAUAAUAAAAGAAUAAAAAUGUUAAAAAU